rnacentral:tRNA from 1 species
GCAGUCGUGGCCGAGCGGUUAAAGCGAUGGACUAGAAAUCCAUUGGGGUUUCCCCGCACAGGUUCGAAUCCUGUCGACUGCG